rnacentral:rRNA from 1 species
CAUGGCUCAGAACGAACGCUGGCGGCAUGCCUAAUACAUGCAAGUCGAACGAUCACUUCGGUGGUAGUGGCGCACGGGUGCGUAACGCGUGGGAAUCUGCCCUUGGGUUCGGAAUAACAUCGGGAAACUGAUGCUAAUACCGGAUGAUGACGUAAGUCCAAAGAUUUAUCGCCCAGGGAUGAGCCCGCGUAGGAUUAGCUAGUUGGUGGGGUAAAGGCCUACCAAGGCGACGAUCCUUAGCUGGUCUGAGAGGAUGAUCAGCCACACUGGGACUGAGACACGGCCCAGACUCCUACGG